GGGGGCACCACCAUGGGAGGUGCUAGUGGUGCCGCUGAGAAAACCACUGGCUGCACUGCUAAAGGAGGUACAGAGACAGCCUGAGUAGACUGUGACGCCAUUGUAGGAGGCAUAAGAACAGUCUGGACUACUUGAACAGCGGCUGUCAAAUUCUGGACCUCCUAAAAGAGCAGGUUGAAUUGGUCCACUAUGAUCGAUGCUGGUUGAAUUGGUGGAUGAGUCUCCGUCACUGAUUGCUGCGUCUGGCUAUUGGUCUAGCUCUUCAUCUGAUGGGAGGCGGCGGC
rnacentral:lncRNA from 1 species